UAUAUUUUAGUAUAAUAUGUACAAAAAUUUUUGAAAUUUUAGGAAAUAGCUUAAUUCUAUUAGAUAUAA
rnacentral:tRNA from 1 species